CCCCAACGAGACAAUUUAGUUAACCCAUUUCAGGUUGUUUGGAUUCACAUAACUUG
rnacentral:tRNA from 1 species